rnacentral:rRNA from 1 species
UGCAAGUCGAACGGCACCCCUCUCCGGAGGGAAGCGAGUGGCGAACGGCUGAGUAACACGUGGAGAACCUGCCCCCCUCCCCCCGGGAUAGCCGCCCGAAAGGACGGGUAAUACCGGAUACCCCCGGGCGCCGCAUGGCGCCCGGGCUAAAGCCCCGACGGGAGGGGAUGGCUCCGCGGCCCAUCAGGUAGACGGCGGGGUGACGGCCCACCGUGCCGACAACGGGUAGCCGGGUUGAGAGACCGACCGGCCAGGUUGGGACUGAGACACGGCCCAGACUCCUACGGGAGGCAGCAUG